rnacentral:rRNA from 1 species
GACGAACGCUGGCGGCGUGCUUAACACAUGGAAGUCGAACGAUGAAGCGGUGCUUGCACCGUGGAUUAGUGGCGAACGGGUGAGUAAUACGUGAGUGACCUACCUUUGACUCUGGGAUAAGCCUGGGAAACUGGGUCUAAUACCGGAUACGACCAAUCUCUGCAUGGGGUGUUGGUGGAAAGCGUUAUGGAGUGGUUUUAGAUGGGCUCACGGCCUAUCAGCUUGUUGGUGAGGUAAUGGCUUACCAAGGCGACGACGGGUAGCCGGCCUGAGAGGGUGACCGGCCACACUGGGACUGAGACACGGCCCAGACUCCUACGGGAGGCAGCAGUGGGGAAUAUUGCACAAUGGGCGCAAGCCUGAUGCAGCGACGCCGCGUGAGGGAUGACGGCCUUCGGGUUGUAAACCUCUGUUAGCAUCGAAGAAGCGAAAGUGACGGUAGGUGCAGAGAAAGCGCCGGCUAACUACGUG